CAUGCUGGUCUCAAACCCACUAUGUUGGUAUUGUCAUGACGUGGCUCAUAUACUGUAACGGGUCGCAAAUAUAUAACACUCUAAACGAACUGGAUUUCCCUAUCGGGAACCCCAUUGAGAUCUACCGUUAAGACCCAAUGACGUUUUAUAAAUUUCCAGUAAUUUACGAUUACGCCCAGAAAAUAGUUCCUUCACAUCAUGAUGUUUUAUUUUACAUAAAGGUUUUUUUCCGCCUCAUAAUUGUUGCUUUCAGAAACAUUACAUUAAAUUGCAAAUAGAGAUUUAAAUAAUUAAUAUAGUAUCAAUAAUUAAUAAUAAGAACAGAAUUCAAAUUUAUUUACUGGUUACACUCUUCAUGUAACCAAUCUAAGCAUAAUCCAUUAACGGAAGUGGAACCAGUUCCAACGGAAAGAGGAUGCGAUCAGGACGAAUGGCGGGUUUAAAAAAUAUCAAAAAGAUCCGUGUAAUCUAAUAACAAAUUGCAUGAAUGGAAGUUUUAAAAGGAUUUAAAUCAACAUAAAGGCAACUGAUGUAGCAAUGAGACAUGUGAAUGCUGCAACAUGAUGAUAAGGAUUCAAGGAAGGAAACAAAUCAGGCACAUUUUAGGAUAUCAGGAUGUGUAGUUUGUUAUCAUAAUUGCUUGUAGGACAUUGGAGGAUUAACUGUGGAGUGUAACAUUAUUGCUGUGAUUCGUCAGGAAUACACCUGUAGAUGGAAAGGCUUGUUUGUACCUGGAAGAAUUGGAUGAAAGAUUCAAAUAUUUAAGAAAAAUCACAAGUGGACAAAACCUCUUACCUGAAAUGUAAACUCUUUUGUUUUACAAAUUCUGUUGUGUGUGUUGGCCACAAAUUUCCCUUCAACCUCUGUAAGUCCAACGUAGAUUUCUACGUCUAUGUUGCUUUAAGGAAGAGGAACAAAUGAAUGUGUAUUUAAGUUGAAGAAAAAAGACAGCUUUAGUAACUUACCGGAAACAAUUGUAGUCAUCAUUUAGAGGAAAUUCGGCCAACACCCUUUUCAUUGCUGCCAGGAGGUGAUUUCCCCCCAAGGCAUACAUGUUGUAUGAUGUUAUUUCAUCUUCUUCGAAUUGUUCAGGGCCGCAAACCUUUAUAUGAAAGAAAUGUUGAUGUUGAGAUUUAUAUCUUUUUUAAGUGAAUUUCGACUAAUAACUAAGGAACUUGUAAAAUAAGUUAUUUUCAGAUACAAACAUUUUGUUUUGUUUUAAACAAUCACUAAGUUUCAUUUAGAUUUUAUACACACCUUUUCAUCAGCCAAAAGAAUUGGGAUCCUUGUUAUUGGUCUGAUAGGACAUUUUUUCAUGUUUUUGUGUAAUGAUUCAAUCCAUUUCUUGUUUAGUUCUCUCACUAAGAGGUUACUUGGUGUUGGUUUAAUAAUACUAGUCGGUAUGGUAUAUUGUCCUGAAACGGAAUAAUGAUUUAAUUUUUUAUAAUUGAUAUACCCAAUUCAGUUAUUCAUACAAUGCUUUAUAAAUGUGUCCGAUGAACACGCAAUUACAGUAGCACAAUGUUUAAUGAUUUAUGCUUGAUUAUAUUAAUAAAUUAAAUGAUAUUAGUUUGUUUAUA